UUUAUUUCAAGCAUUUCAAACAACAAAAAACAGACUAAUUACAAUAAACUUUUGUUCAUGAUACUUGUAUCAUCAUUGUUUCCUCCGCCUCUGAGAACGCAAUGCGGAAAUCACAGCUAACCUAAAAAAAAAAAUAAAUAAAUAAAAAAAAUAAAAGAACAAUUAUAUGUACAGAAGUUUAACUAAUCUGUUUCAAAUAAAGUAAUCAAAUUCAUUCAAUAACAAGAAAUAAGAAUGAUUUUCAAC
rnacentral:lncRNA from 1 species